ACAUUCUAGUGUAUGCUGUGACUUCAACAAAAGCAGAAGAAACAUGUUAUACCUGUCAUAAUGAUGCUGUGAGGAAGAUUUGUCUUUCUGAUGAAUUCUCAGCUGUUUGGAUGCACUACACUGAAGAGAAUGACCUUGAUAUGAAGACAUUCCAGGAUCAGUUUAGUGAUCUUCAGAAAAAGAUAAAAUCUUCUUGUGUCUGCCGUUUUGGGGACAUGAAAGUGGGUGAUUGUCCGAUCAGUGUGUUUGUGAAUAACACUCCUCAAAAAAGAGCAAAGACAAGAGCUAAGAGUAAUUGUACGAUUCAAUAACAUUCUGUGUCCCAUAUGUCUCUUAGUGAUGGGUCGUUCUUGAACGAUUCGUUCAUUUUGAACGAAUCUUUAAUGUGACUCGGGACGAACGAGUCGUCUCGGGGAGUGAUUCGUUCAGUCGCGCAUGCGCAACAUCCUAUUAGGUUCUGUACAGGAAUUAGUUCAACUGUUUUAGAGUCGUUCGUUCACCUUAUGGGGUUGUCACGUGAUGAACGAACGACUCAAACCCGAGGACUCGAGAGAUGAACUAAUCAAUUCUCUUUCCGGCUCAGACUGCAUAGGUUAACAUUACGGGGAUGUCACGUGAUGAAAGAACGACUCAAACCCGAGGACUCGAGAAAUGAACUAAUCAAUUCUCUUUCCGGCUCAGACUGCAUAGGUUAACAUUACGGGGGUGUCACGUG